rnacentral:rRNA from 1 species
AUGGAUAAAACCGGCGUGCAUAGCUUGCGGGCUGCCGAAAAUUUUCUGUUGCGCGAUAUCAAUGAGAAUUCAAGCAAGUUGGAGAAGGAUUGUUUCCAAAUUGCAUUUGUCAUCUUUGUUAUGGGCCAUGUACUAGCACCAACUACUAAGCACAACUAUGCUACCAUCGACUACUGGGGGGCGAUUGCAAAUACGGAGGCCAUAGUUCAGUUCAAUUGGUGUGAGUAUGUUCUGUUACAACUUCUGGAUGCAGUCAAGAAGCUGAAGAGCGACAUGCUGGCCAACAAUCAGUCCACCAAUCUAACCGGUUGCCAUUUUUUCUUCCAGAUUUUCUUGUUGGACAACCUUGAUCUCGGCAUUUUAAACAAGCCUCAUAAUGUGCUCCCAAGGAUAUCUGACUUCGACCCAGAGUCAUUUCGUAAAAUGUUGAUUAUGGCUGCCGAUCCAGUGAAAGGAGCUACGUCAUAUUCUCAUGCAAAUCUGAGAGAUGCGUCGACGGUCUGCUACAUACGGCAGAAGUUUCCCUCAUCUGUUCCGUCGUCAACAACUAGUAGAAGGCUGCCGAGGGGAUGUGCCACGCCUGCAAUAGGAAACCUUCAAUUCACAACUCCCCUACCACAUUGCGAUGCUGGUCAUCAGGUUAACACUGACGGAGCAAUGCCAUCUGCUGCAGCUCCUGGUCCAUUGGAUUUCGCAAAGUACUUACGUGAGAAGUACCCACAGCUUGUAGCAGACGAGAUCACAAUGAUUAUAAAACAGCAGUACGCAAGGGGCCUUAUGCAGUUGACACAAGCCAGCAAUUCUAUCCAGCAGGCCUUGUUACAAGCAAGAAAUGGUUUGCAACUGGAUAUGUACAAGUUUUCAGACCAAGUAAUCAACUCAGUGUCUACCCGCUGUGUAUGUUGUCGUGUGUGUGGUUUCACUGGUUGCCCUGCCUCAGGCACUGCUAAUUCCAAAUCGGUACGUUUUACCACGUCGGUGGCUCACAAAAUUCAGGGGAAAAGGCUAGAAUUAUCUGAAUCCGAAGCUACUUCGCCCGCAGCACAAAAUGUUUCGUCGCGCAAGAGAUCCGCUAAUAUGGAGGACUCCGUAUCUAGCAGCAAAAAAACCACGUUAGCGGCAUCUUGCAAUGUCCUCAAUCACUUCAAGUCUUGCCUCAUGUCCCUCGCUGAAAUGUAUGCUGACCUUCCUGCCAACACCCCUAUAACUGUAUUUGGCCAAUGUUCCAAGAACCUUGAGAAGAGGAAAUACAUAUUCCAGCACGGGUUCGCAACUGAUCCGUGGUGCAGGGGAGUUGCGCCGCAUCCCCCACAUCCACCAACCACGGACCUUAUUGCACCUCAUUUCUUGGAGCUGUCACAUCAAGAUCUGCGGAGGCACUACAUUGUACACGCCAGUCCUAGGCUUAUCCACAUUACUGGGAUGGCUAUGCUUGAUCAGCUAAUUGGGUCGCGCCCCCUUCAGCACGAGCUUGCCUCUAUAAUCAUGAGAAGGUAUUCUCAGUCUGAUCAGGAAGCCAAUUCGGAGUGCCCCUACAUGAAUUGGAGGCACAAUAUCGAACCUGAAUUUGCGACCAUCGUUCUUGCCGACCAAGAAUACUUGACAAACAUCUCAAUUCAGAAGCAGCUUGUUGGAAACGACAUCCCAUAUGACAUUACAUCAUGCCAGAUGUUCUUCCUGCCUGUCCCCCUCGAGGACGACUGGAUAGUGAUCAUGUGGGACAUGAUGUCAAGGAAGCUCCAUGUACUUGACCCGCUCAUCAGGGGAGAAGGUCCGCAUGACGCAACGAGAGAUAAGCAUGAGAUGAUUGCCUGGAAGCUACAUCAUGCACUUUUCCAAUGCCUUAACGAGUAUUAUGCUGGGUGGCCAACGCAAGACGGACAAUGGUCAACCAAAUACCCCGUAAUAGCUGAAGAAACAUUCUGCAGAGAUGAAAGUGGUGGGUGUGCUCUCCACAUAAUUAGGAACUACGAUGGCCAGAAGCUCAAAAUCCCCCUGACCAAGUACAACGCUGGCAGAACAAAAAGGCAAGCACUUCAUGAGUGCAUCAAGCUGCAGGGGAACUCAUCAAAGUUGGCGCAUGAGGCUCUGUGGACUGUCCUGGCGCCAACGGACUCAUGGGUUGAUUCAAUCCACUCCGGAUAUUCCAGGACAACUUGUUGGAACUGCGUCAGCCGAACAUCACUUCGUGUUUCGAAACCUUUUGCUCUCCCCUGGCCGUCACCGCCAUCUGUGCGACAUAGUCAGGUGCAACAAUCAUUAAGAUGGACGACGAAAUUCAUAGUGGGAUAUCAGGUUCUCAUUUAUGGACAUUUACCUCCAUCAUCCCGACGGAAAGAAGGACCAGGAUGGCAGUUUGUUUGGACAUCCAACACAUGUGCUCGAUCUGGUUCUGGCUGCUCUGUAUGGGCAACGUCUCUGGGAGUUGUAGGAGGCGCUGCAAUAGCAUCCGAGGAGGUCAGCUGGCACGCAUUACUCCUAUGUCCACCUGUAGUCCUUCUUCCACCCUCGUUGGCACCGCUACAGCUGUGA